rnacentral:rRNA from 1 species
GGGGUAAAAUUAAUAAAAUAAAGUUAUUAAAAAAAUUUUUAAAGUUAAAAAUAAAUAAUUGGGGGGUUAAAGUAUUUUUAAUAGAAAAAAUUUAAAACUUUAUAGUAAAAUAGUAUUGUAAAAGAAAUUUGAAAUAAUUGAAAAUAAAUUAAUUUAAAAGAAAAUUUAAUUUAUUGUAUCUUGUGUAUCAGAGUUUAUUAAAUAAAUUUUUUGGGGUAAAAAAUUUCGAAUUUAAAAGAGUUAAUUAAUUAUAAAAGUUAAUGUAACAUAAUUAUUUUAAAUAAUUAAUUAGAAAUGAAAUGUUAAUCGUUUUUAAAGAUAUCUAAUUAUUUUAGAAAAAAAUUUAAUUUUUAAUUUAAAUAAUUUUAUAAUUUAUUUAAAAAUUAUAAAAAUUUAAAUUUAAUAUUUUAAGGGAUAAGCUUUAAAUUAAAAAUUUAUAAUAAAAAUUAAUUAAAAUUAAAGUUUUUAAAAUUUGUAUUGUUUAAAAAUUAUAAUUUAUUAUAAAAAAUUUUAAUUAAAAUAAAAUUUAAUAAAUUGAAAAUUUAAAUUUUUAUAAAAUAAUAAUUUUUAAUAAAAUAAAAUUAGAAAUAAUAAUAAAAUUAGUAUAAAAAUAUUAAAAAUUUUAAAUUUUAAUUAGAUUUAAUUUAAAGGAAUUCGGCAAAUUUUUAUAUUCACUUGUUUAUCAAAAACAUGUCUUUUUGAUAAUAAUUUAAAGUCUAAUCUGCCCACUGAUAGAUAUUAAAGGGCUGCAGUAUAUUGACUGUACAAAGGUAGCAUAAUCAUUAGUUUUUUAAUUGGAAACUUGUAUGAAGGAUUUGAUGAAAUAUAAACUGUCUCUUAAUUAUUAUUGAAAUUUUAUUUUUUAGUUAAAAAGCUAAAAUGAAUUUAAAAGACGAGAAGACCCUAUAGAGUUUUAUAUUUUGUUAUAUUUUAAAAGUUUAUAAAAUUAAUAUUUAAAAUAAAAUAAAAUAUUAUGUUGGGGUGACAGAAAAAUUAAAUAAACUUUUUUUAAAAAUUAAACAUUAAUAAAUGAAUAAUUGAUCCAUAAAUAAUGAUUAUAAGAAAAAAUUACCUUGGGGAUAACAGCGUAAUAUUUUUUUUUAGUUCAAAUAAAAAAAAAAGUUUGCGACCUCGAUGUUGGAUUAAGAUAAAAUUUAAAUGCAAAAGUUUAAAAUUUUGAUCUGUUCGAUCAUUAAAAUCUUACAUGAUCUGAGUUCAAACCGGUGUGAGCCAGGUUGGUUUCUAUCUUUAGAAAAUAAAAAUAUUUUA